GUGUUGUGUGAAAGGAGUGAAGGUUAGCACUCCCCUUCACAAGGACGGAAGAGGUUCUCGGGCCGAACAACGUGCAUACGGCCAAGGCAUUGCCACCUACUUCGUGGCAUCUAACUACUGUUUUUU
ensembl:snRNA U6atac minor spliceosomal RNA